UACGGGGGGGGUAAGCGUUGUUCGGAAUUACUGGGCGUAAAGGGCUCGUAGGCGGCCAACUAAGUCAGACGUGAAAUCCCUCAGCUUAACUGGGGAACUGCGUCUGAUACUGGAUGGCUUGGAUUCGGGAGAGGAAUGCGGAAUUCCAGGUGUAGCGGUGAAAUGCGUAGAGAUCUGGAGGAACACCCGUGGCGAAGGCGGCUCCCUGGUCCGAUUCUGACGCUGAGACGCGAAAGCGCGGGGAGCGAACGGG
rnacentral:rRNA from 1 species